rnacentral:rRNA from 1 species
GAUGAACGCUAGCGGGAGGCUUAACACAUGCAAGUCGAGGGGUAGGGAAGCAAUUCCUGAGACCGGCGGACGGGUGCGUAACGCGUAUGCAACCUGCCUUAUACAGGGGGAUAGCCCAUGGAAACGUGGAUUAACACCCCAUAGGAUUACGGGAUCGCAUGAUUUUGUGAUUAAAACUGAGGUGGUAUAAGAUGGGCAUGCGUCUGAUUAGGUAGUUGGUAGGGUAAUGGCCUACCAAGCCGACGAUCAGUAAGGGUUCUGAGAGGAUUACCCCCCACACUGGUACUGAGACACGGACCAGACUCCUACGGGAGGCAGCAGUGAGGAAUAUUGGUCAAUGGCCGGAAGGCUGAACCAGCCAUCCCGCGUGCAGGAUGACGGCCCUAUGGGUUGUAAACUGCUUUGUACCUGAAGAAUAGGCCCAACGAGUUGGGAUUUGCCGGUAAGGUAUGAAUAAGCAUCGGCUAACUCCGUGCCAGCCGCCGCAGUAAAAC